rnacentral:rRNA from 1 species
AUUGAACGCUGGCGGCAUGCUUUACACACGCAAGUCGAACGGUAACAGGUUAAGCUGACGAGUGGCGAACGGGUGAGUAAUGCAUCGCAACGUGCCCGAUCGUGGGGGGUAACGCAGCGAAAGCUGCGCUAAUACCGCAUACGAUCUGAGGAUGAAAGCGGGGGACCGUAAGGCCUCGCGCGAUCGGAGCGGCCGAUGUCAGAUUAGGUAGUUGGUGGGGUAAAGGCCCACCAAGCCGACGAUCUGUAGCUGGUCUGAGAGGACGACCAGCCACACUGGGACUGAGACACGGCCCAGACUCCUACGGGAGGCAGCAGUGGGGAAUUUUGGACAAUGGGCGAAAGCCUGAUCCAGCAAUGCCGCGUGCAGGAAGAAGGCCUUCGGGUUGUAAACUGCUUUUGUACGGAGCGAAAAGGUCCCUUCUAAUACAAGGGGCUCAUGACGGUACCGUAAGAAUAAGCACCGGCUAACUACGUGCCAGCCGCCGCCGUAAUAC